GCUUGUGAAGCUCAAUUGGUUGAGCAGAACACUGAAGCUGUUUUGGUUGUAAGUUCGAGUCUUACCAUGAGCA
rnacentral:tRNA from 1 species